rnacentral:tRNA from 1 species
AGAGGUUGUACGAAGCUAAUUUGCAUUUAGUUAAAGGAUAAUUUUAU